CAAUGUAAAUAUUACUCUUUUGCAAGGUUUUUUUUUUUGUGUGGCCGGGGUGUUGUAGUUUGCCGAUUAAAUGUCACGUGGCACGAUUGUAAUGCCCAGCGGAGCCUCAGAACCCUUGGUGUGUGAAAAAUCCUGUUGGAACCAUUGUGCCGGGGCUGUGUAGCGUAGCCUUCGCCGCCGGAACAAUGCCGGACAGGAAGCUGCCGUCUCCCACGCUCGGCGGCCAGCUCCGUGCCUCUAAUGUAAAUGGGGGGAAACGUGCCGAAGGAAAAGAAAGGUGGUCUGUCGUUCUCGUCUCUCCUCUCCCCUCGGUCACACUGGGCUGGCUCUUUCCCGGCAACGGCGGUGUCUCGCGGUUCCGGGCACAACGUUAGCGGGUUUUUUGGCGGCGCGGUGACGUUUCAUUUUUCGCCGUUAAUUUUGCCGUUUCUUUUUCUUUUUCUGCCCGUUAAGCUGGAAUUUGUAAAGUGAGUGAGUUCUAACCCGGAUCCUGGGGAUUUGUCGGUACUUUUUUGUCUGCACUGCCUGCGAGAGGAGAGAGAGGAGAUGGUGAGUUUGUUCACCUCCCCUAACCAAGGGCAAAGUUAAAGAGCGCCAUGUCAGACAAAUGUUCAAAAAAACCCUGGCCAUUUUUUCAGUCACUCUGGGCUCUCGGUCAUACGGGGCUCGGUGCCCUCGAUCAAAGCCCCUCCCCCCUGCCCGUCAGGCUGCUCGUAGGGCCCCGCUGACCCACCGUGUGUUUGGCAGGCCGUCGUGCGGAGGAAGAAGCAUCGGCUCGUUCAGCCGUCCUCCGGGGGGAGGGUUCGCCAGUGCUGGCGUUGGUAGCAAAGAGCUGGCGGCUGUGCAUGGCCCUCCCCCCCUCCCACGCCGUUUUUAUAACCCACUUUCAGACCUGUGAGGCCGCGUGACACCUCCGCGGACCGGACGGCCUCUUCGCCAGCCCUCUGCGAACUCUGACCUCAUGCGACGGGCCGUGGCACUCUGGAAAGGAAACAGCGGACACAGAGAACAAGGAAGAAUGAGAGAGAGGUGGCUGAACCAGAGCCACGUCAGGAAUGGCUGGGGUCACAGUGGCGCUCCGCUGCCCUGAGGGGCUAGUUGCCUCCCGCCUGUCGUUUGGACGAAGGCCUCUCCCACGGAUGGCGCGGCUCUUUGUCUUCCACAGAACGCCGUGCGUUUCGCAGCCGAAGUUCACGUGCGUCAGCGAGGCUGUCGUGCCGCGGUGCAGCAGGGGCCAGACGGGGCCGAGCCGCGGGCUCCGGGCGAGCAGCUGCUACUGCAACGACAGCGCCGAGCUCGCUUUGGGCUUCUGCGGAAAUGCUUCAGACGCUCUUCGGAUCCGACCGAGGCGCAGUAAAUUCGUUAAACUGUGUAGCGCUUGUAGCGAGUUGCCUAGUCUCUUACUGGGGGUUAGUCUGUCUGAAGGCAAAGUGAGCUGCUCUUUAGCUCAGUAAGCUGAUCGCAGCUGUUGUUGUGCAGGUUCGUGGAUCAUGGGUCUAAACUGACAGCAGAUCUACCCCCGAUACUCAGCUUGUACACAGUCAGGGGUUCUGUGUAAAAUCUAAUCAAAGUACCUUCAUCUCUAAUGGUGUGCAUUUGGCCGCUGUUUUUAUCUAAUAUAUGAAUUCAUAUUUUCUAUAAUUUUGAUUGAAUUAAAAAAUGAGAAAUGUAUUCCCUUUUUCCUCUCACCAAAGGAUAGUCUGAAGUAGGGGCAGUGUUUUCUGUAUGUGUAUUUAUGUUAUCAGUAGCAUCACAGUGGGGGAAUAGGGGAAUUGCCCAGGGUCCAGGCAGGAAGGGGGCCCCUCUAAAAGCCUGGACUAAAAAGGGGAAGGGGUCCACAGAGUGCGCAUUUGCACAGGGCCCAGAAUUUUGAACUACACCCGUGUAUGUUAUCUUUAUGUACUUUGAGAAAAAUACAUUUAAUAUUUAAUAAUCCCAAUUGGAGAAGGACAGUGUGCUUGAUAAUACUGCUAUUAUCUGAGAAAGUAGAGUGUGUGUUUAAAAAAAAUAAUAAUUAUUAUACGUAGAGUGUGAUCAUAUGUGCUGAUUUGACAUCAACAUUGGAGGGACAAGAAUACAAACUGUUGGUAUACAUUUGGAAUGUUACAUUUUUUUUACAGUUACAAGCUUAUAGCGACAUGGAUGACAGAUUGUAUUAUUUGAUCUUAAACAGGUCCACAUUAAGUAAUAUUUGCACAUAAGUACAUGUUCCACUGAACAUUGCCCCAGUAUGAUUACUGAAGAUUCAUCACCCUUUUUCCCCCUUACUUGGCACCAAUAACUGUGAUCCUUAUAUGCACUGAAAAUAUAUUGAUGAAGUACUAUUGCAACUGAUGUGAGAAAAUGAUAAUGAUGAAUGUCAUAUUUCAUAGGUAUUCAUUUCUUUUUCAGCAAUGUAUUCUCUGAAACCCAUGAAAAUAACUCCCACUAAUUAUUCAAAUUAAAUUCAAUUUGUGCCACAUUAAAAUUAAAUUAGGACCUAUGAAAAUGAUAUGGGCAGGCAAAAAACGAAACUGUAAAUCAGCUGCGUUUUCUUUGUGUUCAUGUUGCGGGUCAACAAGGUAUGCUGUGUAGCGGCUGUUCUGUUGACGUUUACGGUGUUCUGACUGGCAUAUAUGUGAUAGCACUGUGAUGUCCUUAUGAAUGUAUAGUGUGUUUAUGAAUUUUUACUGCUCUGCGACACUAUAAAUCAAAAGCAUAUAAUGUUACACUAUAAAUGUGUAUGCUUAUGAAUUUGUUAUAUAAUUUAUGAAUGUAUAGUGCUAUGUGACAUGUUUAUGCAUUUCUAGUGUGAAAUGUUUAUGAAUUCAUAGUACUCUGUGAUUCAGUGCUCUGUGAUAUGUUCAUGAGACUACAGUGUUCUAUAAUAAGUUCAUAAAUUUAUAUUACUCAGUGAUAUGUUUAUGAAUUUAAAGUGUGUUACAAUGUUCAUGAAACCAUAGCACUCUGAUUUGGUGCUCUGUGAUGUUUACCAUCCUAUAAUGUUCUGUAAUAUGUUUAUAAAUUUGUAGUACCCCGCAAUGUUUAUGAAUUCAUAGUGCUCUGUGAUUUGCAUCAUUAAGUAGAAGGAAAUUAGUGGACAGUAUAGUCACCCACACUUUUCUAAGGAGAGGAGUGAAUACCCAUUUUAAGGAAUGGCCCAUUUUCUGACGGGGCCUUGGUGGGCAGGGACCUCCCUCACUGGGACCAAAUGGAAACCUGGACCACAAAAACAAAGAGUUAAAUGAAUAACCUUUGGUCAAUGUUUCACUGGAAACCUCCACUAUCCAACUGGGAGAGCGCACACUUUUUUAACUGUAGCUCUCCAAUGCACGCCAAUCACCUGUAUAUACACAUUCUAUUAUUAACACCCAUCCUCAAAUAAAUGCAAUAAAUACAUAAUAAAUCACAUGCAAUUCACAAAUAAACAUCAGAGAUUAUAUAUAAAAAAGAUUUAAUCUUUCCCCCCCCCCCCACAAAAUCAGUUGACACACAUGUGCAUAUAUUGUCAUAAUCUCAUAUCAUAGUAUCAUAUGUACUUAAUAUGGAUAUUGUUCCUUCACUCCCCAGUAGCCCAACUCACAUGCCUUUACAGUCAUCUGCCAGAGAUCGAACGCAUGCUGAUGAUAGACUGGCAGUGCUUUUGAUCCACACUGUGGUUGAACCACAAAUAUACAGCCAUGGAUUCUCAGAGCCCCGGAGAAACGAACAUACAUUUCUAUAGGAUCAUGAACAAAUAACCUUCAUUUACAAGCUUAUAAAAUACAGUAAUGAAUUAUGUACAUAAUUGGAAACAGAAAACAUAAAGGAGGAUCAACAGAAAACAAAGAGAUCAAAAACAGAUGCUUCUUUCUCUUCAUGUAUCCUUGACAUACAUUAUGGGUACGGCUUCCUUCCAGUGUUUCAUUAACAACUCUCACAUUGCUUUGCUUGCAAACACAUCACGUACAUUAUUUGUAAAAAAAAAAAAAA